rnacentral:lncRNA from 1 species
AACUCCGCUGGGGAUAUCCUUCAGUCCGCAGAUAGGAUAAAUGCUGGAGAUAAAUUUCAAUGAGUCUGCCUCACUCGGGAGGAAAUCGGCAAAUACAGGCCUGCUGGGGAUAGGCAAUCCUUAGAUCUGUUGGGGAAUAGAAGGCACUAUCCACAGACGUCUCCGCAGGGGAACAUAGCUCUGAUAGCUUCCAAACUUGCUUGGGGAAAAUAUCUGCUGAGGAAACGUCCUCACAGAUGCCAAUCCUGAAAAACAGCACAACAAAAUGCCCCCAGGGGAUACAUGGACAAGAUACGCUCAAGUGUCCUCAACAUUCAAAAUGAUUUUCAAAUGUUUUAUCUUUUUGCACGUUAUUGUGUAGCCUUCAUGUUCUUAUAUGCAAUGCUUAUCAAAAAUUCGGACAUUUUUGCAAACAAAACAGUAAAAAUAAAAACAAAAGAGCUAUUUAUCUGAAUAACGACUUUUAUUGAUUGAAAAUGUGCCUGAAAAGGCAAAUACAUUGGGAAGCAAUUCCUAGAAAGAGGUAAUUGCGCAUAAAAGGAAAAAUCUAUCCUAAUGGCAAUGUGAACACGGCAUCCACUAUUUCCCAAUUCUGUUAUAACUCACAGAUCAUCA